GACCCCACUCUGUUCCUGGGGAUUCGCCCUUCGCACCAGAGCACUGCCAGGUUCCCAGGGUGCUUGUGCUCAACUGAUACUGUACCUGAUCUCAGGCUGCCAGCGUCCCUCACCACGUCUGGAUCCACGUUCCUGCACCAGCUCCUUCCGGCUCAGUGUGGGCUGGUGAUGGGGAAGAUGGGCCUGCUUCUCCAUCUCCUGGAACCAUCCGUUCCAACCAUCCGUCGGGAGAACACUGUUCAAACCAUAGCACCUUCAAGCCACUGGAAUGUACUUCACUAAACCGUCUGAGCAGCUGUUGUGCUCCAGGCACUUUAUGAGGCUCCAGACAGGAGUAAGACAAGGUCCUUGCCCUUAAAAAGUGACGCAACCCAAUACGGAGAUUGGAAAUAUGCAAAUGUAUAGGACGCAGAGAUCAAGCAAGAUUCAUUGAAGGAGCACUGGGUCAGAACCCUGCAGUGAAUCAGAGGAAAUCUCCUAUUCUUUCUGGAAAGAGGCACUCUUUUUAAGAAGGAGGCAGGAUCUGCAAUGGCCUAGGGUGGGGGGCGGGGGGGCUGGGUUGAAGUUUGCAGAAGGGUGAUUGCAUGCCAGCGACGUGGUCAGCCAGAGCAGAGGCACCGGUGACAGGAAGGCAAAGGAAACAUUUCAGGGAAAAUAGGCAGUCCAGUUUCACUGGGAUACAUAAUUUGCAAAAAUGGGAAUCAAAUCUGAUAACCCUUGGAAAAUAAGCUCAGGUCCCCUGGGGGAUUCCUCCAGAUUUUCCUGUGUUUGAAUUAAAGGUGAGUCCAGUAACACUUUCUAAGCUAUCAGUUUGGUAACAAUGACCACAAUAACCAGAAUUAAAAAAAUAAUAAUCAAGCUCCUAAUUGUUUUGAGAAAAAUAUUUAAUUUGAUUUUGCUUCUACAAACUUCCAGGAGGCAUCUCACAACACUUUACAACACUCCCAUCGCGUUUCUGGAUUUUUUAUUUCUUUCUUCGGCAGCACUUUCGGCCGCUGAGAGAGCAUCGGCCGAUUUGCUCCUCCUUUGGAAGGCAGGUUAGCAGAGCGCACCGGCCGCUUCUCAAACUGCAAAACUGCUUCUGCAGGAGGCUUAUAAUUCCUCCAUUUCCUGUAGUGAAAAAACAGGACACAUGGAAGGCUUGGUCCCAGCACAAGGCUUUUGGAAUUCCCCAAAUAACUGGUCUGCUACCUUUCUUGUAUUCCCCCCCCCCAAGCCCCAACCCUCCCCGCCCCCCGCCCCCCCAGCCUCUCCUGCCCUCAAUAUACACUUCUAUUUAGGGUCUGGUAGUUGGAAAGUGAAUUCAGUUAUAAUCCUAGUUGUAUACCUCAUGGGGUGAACAUACACAUUUCUUCCGAUUAAGAAAUGAGAAAACACAUGGUAUAAAGAUACUGGUUAGGAUUUGGUAGAUGCCAAUUUGUAAUUUCCUUUUUAAAUAAAAUAUUAUUCCAAUCACUAUUAAUCA